rnacentral:rRNA from 1 species
UACGUAGGUGGCAAGCGUUGUCCGGAAUUAUUGGGCGUAAAGCGUGCGCAGGCGGUUUUGUAAGUCUGACGUGAAAUCCCCGGGCUCAACCUGGGAAUUGCGUUGGAGACUGCAAGGCUGGAGUCUGGCAGAGGGGGGUAGAAUUCCACGUGUAGCAGUGAAAUGCGUAGAGAUGUGGAGGAACACCGAUGGCGAAGGCAGCCCCCUGGGCUGAGAUUGACGCUGAGUGCACGAAAGCGUGGGGAGCAAACAGG